rnacentral:rRNA from 1 species
UACGUAGGUGGCGAGCGUUAUCCGGAUUUAUUGGGCGUAAAGCGUCCGCAGACGGCUUGUUAAGUCUAGAAUCAAAGCCCGGAGCUUAACUCCGGUUCGUUUUAGAAACUGGCAGGCUUGAGUAUAGUAGAGGCAAGUGGAAUUUCUAGUGUAGCGGUAGAAUGCGUAGAUAUUAGAAGGAACACCAGUGGCGAAGGCGACUUGCUGGGCUAUUACUGACGUUCAUGGACGAAAGCGUGGGGAGCAAA